UGAGGGUCUGACCUUGUCACUAGA
rnacentral:piRNA from 1 species